rnacentral:rRNA from 1 species
GACGAACGCUGGCGGCGUGCUUAACACAUGCAAGUCGAACGAAGUGGCGAACGGGUGAGUAACGCGUAAUCAACCUGCCCUUCAGGGGGGGACAACAGUUGGAAACGACUGCUAAUACCGCAUACUGAAGGAGGGGUUUGCGUCUGAUUAGCUCGUUGGAGGGGUAACGGCCCACCAAGGCGAUGAUCAGUAGGCGGGCUGGGAGGAUGAACGGCCACAUUGGGACUUGGAAACGGGCCAGACUCCUACGGGAGGCCGCAGUGGGGAAUCUUCCGCAAUGGGCGAAAGGCUGGCGGAGCAACGGCGCGUGGGUGAUGACGGGCUUCGGGUUGUAAAGCUCUGUUAAUCGGGACGCGGUACCGGAAUAGAAAGCCACGGCUAACUACGUGCCAGCAGCCGCGGUAAUAC